UACGUAGGGUGCGAGCGUUGUCCGGAAUUAUUGGGCGUAAAGAGCUUGUAGGCGGUUUGUCGCGUCUGCUGUGAAAAUCCGGGGCUCAACUCCGGACUUGCAGUGGGUACGGGCAGGCUAGAGUGUGGUAGGGGAGACUGGAAUUCCUGGUGUAGCGGUGGAAUGCGCAGAUAUCAGGAGGAACACCGAUGGCGAAGGCAGGUCUCUGGGCCACUACUGACGCUGAGAAGCGAAAGCAUGGGGAGCGAACAGG
rnacentral:rRNA from 1 species